GGGCAGCGGAGUAAGGGAGCAGCGGUCCUCGCGGUUCUUGGCGAGGGAAGAAUUAAUUAUUGUGAGUAGUUCUGGAUUAGAGACCUUGUGGAUCCGAAAGAAUAAGUCUUUGGGUUCUUGUUAAGGUAGUGCAUUUCAGGCUGCUACUUGAAUCAUAUAAUGGAGAAAGCUGCAUGGAGGAACAGUUGGGCAGAAGAAACAAGAUUUUCUGAGAAAGCCGUUUUUUUAAUUUUGAUUUUUCUCAAGACCAAAAAGUGAAUACUACCUGUCGUCUGUCUACAUUAUUGGUUUGGAGGUACCAAGUAUAUGAUGCUGGAAAUUUUUAAACACAAACUGCUAAUGAAUGAAAGGCUUAAAACAGAUAUAUUUUUUAAGCUACCAGAAAAAUGACUAUGAAAACAGGGAUCAAGAAGACUGAUGGAAAACAAUUUAGGAGGAAACCAUAGAAAAUGUACACUUCAGAAGAGAAAUGUAACCAGAGAACUCAGAAAAGGAAAAUACACCAUGUAUGCCCUCAGAAGGGGAAAAAGAUAUAUAUUCGUGUACAUGAGAUUACUCAAAUAGAUAAUCAAAUAUAUCAGUGCCUUGAACGUGAACAAAACUUUUGUGAAAACUUAGCACAAAUGUGUGAAAGAACAUAUACUGGGGAGAAACCUUAUAGAUGUGAUAUGUGUGAGAAAACCUUCAUCCAAA
rnacentral:lncRNA from 1 species